AGCCCAUGGUGAGGGCAUCUUCACAAAAGGUAUUUGUAUCUCUCCCAUGCAUCGUAGAGUGUCUCUAAAUCCAUCUGCACAAAAGAAGAAAUAUCAUUACGUAAUUU
rnacentral:snoRNA from 1 species